GUUCGGUGAGUGGAGAACGGGAGAGAGAGGAGAAAAGAAAGCAAAUUUCAGAGGGUGGAAGGACAUGCAGCUGGACCAGGUACCUCCAGAUGUGAAGCCCUAUUUCAGCUGUGCUCAGAGCACCAAGGAGAACCCUGCCACCACCUGCUGGGAACGGAAACUGAGCAACCCAGAGCUGAGCAAAGCUGUCCAUAUGGUCCUUUGCAAGGUGCCGGCAGUAUCCCAGAAAAUACCACAGAAGAUCUAUAUUAAUCUCUAGGAUCAUUCUAAGUUUGUUUCUCCUUCAGCUCUGUGGACUCCGUCUCGUCUUGUCUUGCAGGGUAUUUCUACUUGAACGCCAAUGAAGGCUGUCUUUUACAUGCUCUGUACGCCUUCUGUGACUUCACACCUGCGUCUCUCCAGUCACGUCCUGGGUAACUACAGCACAGCAAUGCACAGUGUGCAAAAGGACAUUUUAAAGUGACUUAUUAUUCCCCACUGGGGAUCAGUACCUGUUGCUCCAGAAGGUGUCACUGCAGCACAGACUAGCAGUAGCUGAUGUGGUGGUUUAUUUUUGGAAAGUUUGUGACAAGUUUAUAAUAGCAGUGCAAGUCCAGUUUGAUAAUAAUGUUAUGCAUUCCAAAGCACAGUGCCACCAAAAACGAUUUAGACUGCAAUUUUGUUAAAAAAUAAAUUCCCAGUAAAGUACCUCAUUUUAAAUUCUACUGUAUUUGAAUAUUGAAAUUUGUAUAAAUUCUAUAUAAUUUACACAUUACUUGGAUAAAUUAUUGUAAUUAAAUAUUCUGAUGUAUGGCAGACCACUUGAGUAUUUAAACACAUUUUUGUCAAUUGAAUAAUUAGUCCAGCCAAAGGGAAGUUUCAGAGUGUACUGGCCAGUAAAAAAUAAGCAUGACAGUAAGAUGCAGAAACAUUUGGAAGACAGCAUGAGGGAGGGACCAUACUGCAUACUAUAGAAACUAA